AAGAUCUUCAAUCUCACCCACCUCAAAUUGACCUGGCUCAAAGUCCAAAGUUCCACAUUGAAGCUGUUCAGAAGCUUGCAGUUUAUGAUUUGUCUCUUUGUCAUCAUCACUCAUGAUAUCAACAUCCUCAUCAGAUGCCUCCUUACUGUUAGAAGAAGCAUCACUUUCACUGUCACUGCUACUCCCACUGGCCACGCUUUUACUUCGGCUUCUACUCUGACUUCCACUAUCGCUUCCACUAUCACUGCUCUCACUAUCACUAGAGCUAGAGCUAGAACUAUUAGCCUGCCCUUCACUUCGAUCAGGUGAAAGAUGGAGGAUAUCAAUGUUUUCAACGGCAUCAGAUGCUUCUUGAGGUUUAGAAUCACUCACUGCCCCCUCUUCCAACUCACCACUAUCAGUUUUUGGAAAUAAGACUGGCUGCGGAGCAGGUAGUUGAUCAAAUUUAUGAGGGGCAGAUGAUGGCUGACAAUGAUCUUCAGGAGAACUUCCACAUUCAAGGGCAGGUUUCGGGAAACUUUCUAUAUCCACUUCCGGUUUCAAGAAGUAUCUUCCUGGAGCUUGGUAUAUCGCAAUCUUUUUUAUAAUGGGCUCAAUUUGUUUGGCUGAGUUCGGGAGCUUGUCUCCAACAGCUUUUUCCAGUGCCUUAAGACUAAUCCCCUUGGACUGGUUCUCCAUAAGUAGAGAAAUCAACAUGCUACGCAGAUCAGUAGACGUUGUGCCUGUAUGACUUUUACGUCCUACUUUAUCUUGUACAGAACUUGUGAUCGCCUUG
rnacentral:misc_RNA from 1 species